CGACAGGAUGUAUGGAGGCCCAGUCACUCACCAAGUUCAACAGUGGGGCAACUAGAGGGGAAGUUGUUGAACUUGUAAAGAUCGUGGAAUCAAAUCGAGCAGUGGCUCUUGAAAAUCAGAAGCUGCUUCACCAGGUCCUGAGAAUUCUACAGUCUGGUUCUCGGACUUGACACCAGCUGAGGAGUUGCAUCUCCCCCUCAAAACCAUCGAGGAACUGAGGGAAACUAAUACUUCUCUGGAGGAAUCCUCCAGAUUGAGAUCAGCGGUUGGGCAACUCGGAGUGGCAGGAGGCGUGUCAACAGGAGACACAAUACGCAGAGUUUUGUCAAUGCUAAUGACAAACUCGG